AGAUUGCCAUAAGAAAAGUGCCACAGGGUGGAUGGCUUCAACAGCUGAAAUUUAUUUUUUCACAGUUCUGGAGGCUAAAACUCCAGGAGCAAUAGAAUGCUGUUAUUUACAGCUUAUGUGGAGUCGGGACACCCAGCUACAGACUUGAUUUCCCAUCCUUCACAGCAGGGCCUAUGUAUUAUGAUCAAGCAGUGGAGACUUUCCUUCACAUACACAACUUGAAAGCCCUACUUGCACUGUAGCUGGAGUAAAGCAGACAAUCAAGAGGGUCGCCAGUUUCCUCCAGGUCUUUGAUUCUUGUCUAUUUCCUCACCUCAUGAACCCUGACUACUGACCAAACAUAAACCUUGCAGAAACAGUCCUCAGAAAGCACUAUUCUGACAAUUAUCAAGAUAAGAUUACACUAACAAUCCUGAGAAGUUGGCACAAAAAUGAGUUCAACCUUCAACUUCAAGUUUUGCAGAAUUUAAAUACAAAAACUGUUAACCCAAGCCAAACCAUAAGGAGACAUGUGUCUCUCUCCUCUCCUCUCCCAAUAAGACACCAAUCUUGUUUCAACCCAGGAAGUUAAC